AACGAACGCUGGCGGCAUGCUUAACACAUGCAAGUCGAACGGAUUAUAAGACUUCGGUUUUAUAGUUAGUGGCAGACGGGUGAGUAGCGCGUGGGAACAUACCUUCUGGUUCGGAAUAACGUCUGGAAACGGAUGCUAAUACCGGAUAAGCCCUAAGGGGGAACGAUUUAUUGCCAGAAGAGUGGACCGCGUUAGAUUAGGUAGUUGGUGGGGUAAAGGCCUACAAAGCCUGCGAUCGAUAGCUGGUCUGAGAGGAUGAUCAGCAACACUGGGACGGAGACACGGCCCAGACUCCUACGGGAGGCGGCAGUGGGGAAUAUUGGACAAUGGGGGCAACCCUGAUCCAGCAAUGCCGCGUGAGUGAAGAAGGCCUUCGGGUUGUAAAGCUCUUUUAUCAGGGACGAUAAUGACGGUACCUGAGGAAUAAGCUCCGGCUAACUUCGUGCCAGCCGCCGCGGUAA
rnacentral:rRNA from 1 species